GCAGUAGCCGCGGUAAUACAGAGGGUGCGAGCGUUAAUCGGAUUUACUGGGCGUAAAGCGUGCGUAGGCGGCUAAUUGAGUCGGAUGUGAAAUCCCCGAGCUUAACUUGGGAAUUGCAUUCGAUACUGGUUAGCUAGAGUGUGGGAGAGGAUGGUAGAAUUCCAGGUGUAGCGGUGAAAUGCGUAGAGAUCUGGAGGAAUACCGAUGGCGAAGGCAGCCAUCUGGCCUAACACUGACGCUGAGGUACGAAAGCAUGGGGAGCAAACAGGAUUAGAUACCCCGGUAGUCCCUGUCUCUUAUAA
rnacentral:rRNA from 1 species